GAUGAACGCUGGCGGCGUGCCUAAUACAUGCAAGUCGAGCGAACAGACGAGGAGCUUGCUCCUCUGUCGUUAGCGGCGGACGGGUGAGUAACACGUGGAUAACCUACCUAUAAGACUGGGAUAACUUCGGGAAACCGGAGCUAAUACCGGAUAAUAUAUUUAACCGCAUGGUUCAAUAUUGAAAGACGGUUUUGCUGUCACUUAUAGAUGGAUCCGCGCCGCAUUAGCUAGUUGGUAAGGUAACGGCUUACCAAGGCGACGAUGCGUAGCCGACCUGAGAGGGUGAUCGGCCACACUGGAACUGAGACACGGUCCAGACUCCUACGGGAGGCAGAAGUAGGGAAUCUUCCGCAAUGGGCGAAAGCCUGACGGAGAAACGCCGCGUGAGUGAUGAAGGUCUUCGGAUCGUAAAACUCUGUUAUUAGGGAAGAACAAAUGUGUAAGUAACUAUGCACGUCUUGACGGUACCUAAUCAGAAAGCCACGGCUAACUACGUG
rnacentral:rRNA from 1 species